GGGGAUUUAGCUCAGUGGUAGAGCGCUUGCCUAGGAAGCGCAAGGCCCUGGGUUCGGUCCCCAGCUCCA
rfam:Rattus norvegicus chromosome 19, whole genome shotgun sequence.